rnacentral:rRNA from 1 species
ACUCCUACGGGAGGCAGCAGUGGGGAAUUUUGGACAAUGGGCGAAAGCCUGAUCCAGCCAUGCCGCGUGCAGGAUGAAGGCCUUCGGGUUGUAAACUGCUUUUGUACGGAACGAAAGACUCUGGUUAAUACCUGGGGUCCAUGACGGUACCGUAAGAAUAAGCACCGGCUAACUACGUGCCAGCAGCCGCGGUAAUACGUAGGGUGCAAGCGUUAAUCGGAAUUACUGGGCGUAAAGCGUGCGCAGGCGGUUAUAUAAGACAGAUGUGAAAUCCCCCGGGCUCAACCUGGGAACUGCAUUUGUGACUGUAUAGCUAGAGUACGGCAGAGGGGAUGGAAUUCCGCGUGUAGCAGUGAAAUGCGUAGAUAUGCGGAGGAACACCGAUGGCGAAGGCAAUCCCCUGGGCCUGUACUGACGCUCAUGCACGAAAGCGUGGGAGCAAACAGGAUUAGAUACCCCUGGUAGGAUAGCG